CACAAUUGCGUCGUUCUUUGAGUUUUUACCCCUACCCCAAGUAUCCACUACCUCUUCCUCUUAUUCGACUUCUUCAUGCGAAUCAUGCGCACACUCUCUCAUGAUCCCUUUGUGUUAUUUUCGGCGGAAUCACCGUCGAAGCUUUAAAUAGGACUGAGUUUCUGACGAUGAAGGCAGUUCAUAACACUGUUUCUAGAUGCUGGAGCACCGUACGAUUUUCGACAGACUGGCUUCAAUUAAAAGUGGUAUUAGAUACAUGCUUUAUUCUAAUAAAAUAAAAUAUAGGCUCACCGAAAUUUGGUGCAUGGGAAAAAUGGAAAUGUAGACAAGAUACUCCGAAAUUCGGUGAGCGUAGCACAACUAAUUUCAGUG